rnacentral:rRNA from 1 species
GAUGAACGCUGGCGGCGUGCCUAAUACAUGCAAGUCGAGCGAACAGACGAGGAGCUUGCUCCUCUGACGUUAGCGGCGGACGGGUGAGUAACACGUGGAUAACCUACCUAUAAGACUGGGAUAACUUCGGGAAACCAGAGCUAAUACCGGAUAAUAUAUUGAACCGCAUGGUUCAAUAGUGAAAGACGGUUUUGCUGUCACUUAUAGAUGGAUCCGCGCCGCAUUAGCCAGUUGGUAAGGUAACGGCUUACCAAGGCAACGAUGCGUAGCCGACCUGAGAGGGUGAUCGGCCACACUGGAACUGAGACACGGUCCAGACUCCUACGGGAGGCAGCAGUAGGGAAUCUUCCGCAAAGGGCGAAAGCCUGACGGAGCAACGCCGCGUGAGUGAUGAAGGUCUUCGGAUCGUAAAACUCUGUUAUUAGGGAAGAACAAAUGUGUAAGUAACUAUGCACGUCUUGACGGUACCUAAUCAGAAAGCCACGGCUAACCACGUG